rnacentral:rRNA from 1 species
UCGAGAGGGUUCGGCCCUCGGCUGACGGCUCAGUAACACGUGGAUAAUCUGCCCUUAGGUGGAGGAUACCCUCGGGAAACUGAGAAUAAUACUCCAUAGGCCUAGGAUGCUGGAAUGCAUCUAGGCUCAAAGUUCCGGCGCCUAAGGAUGAGUCUGCGGACUAUCAGGUUGUAGUCAGGGUAAUGACCUGACUAGCCUACGACGGAUAUGGGUUGUGAGAGCAAUAACCCAGAGAUGAUAUCUGAGACACGAUAUCAGGCCCUACGGGGCGCAGCAGGCGCGAAAACUUCACGCUGUGCGAAAGCGCGAUGAGGGAAUCCCAAGUGCUUGCUCGUAAGAGUAAGCUGUUUUUAUGUUUAAAACGCAUAGAGAGUAAGAGCUGGGUAAGACGGGUGCCAGCCGCCGCGGUAAUACCUGCAGCUCGAGUGGUGGCCGCUAUUAUUGGGCCUAAAACGUCCGUAGCCGGUUUAAUAAAUGCCUGGGUAAAUCGUGUAGCUCAACUAUACGAAUUCCGGGUAGACUGUUAAACUUGGGACCGGGAGAGGCUAGAGGUACUCCUGGGGUAGAGGUGAAAUUCUGUAAUCCUAGGGGGACCACCAGUGGCGAAGGCGUCUAGCUAGAACGGGUCUGACGGUGAGGGACGAAGCCCUGGGGCGCAAACCGGAUUAGAUACCCGGGUAGUCCAGGGUGUAAACGCUGCUUGCUUGAUGUUAGUCGGGCUCCGAGCCCGAUUAGUGU